GUGGCAUCUUUGUACCCCUAAUUCUACUUCGGACACUUGUCUAUUUUUACCUCUCAUCUCACUCUUUUUCUUUCUUUUCCGAGGUUCCGGGCACUUGCCCCUUUUUAUUUCCUCGUAUGUUUUUGCACAACCCAUGCCUCUUCUACAUUGAAUCUUUUUAGAGAGAGAAUAACAAUACUUGGGACAGUGAGUGAUAAUAUAUUUUUUUUAGCAAUUUUAAUGAUUAAUGCUGUGGUAGAUGCGUGCA
rnacentral:lncRNA from 1 species